UACGAAUGGAGCAAGCGUUGUUCGGAAUCACUGGGCUUAAAGCGUGCGCAGGCGGUUUGUAAAGUCAGAAGUGAAAGCCCUGGGCUCAACCCAGGAACUGCUUUUGAAACUCACAAACUAGAAUCCGGGAGAGGUUAGUAGAAUUCCUAGUGUAGAGGUGAAAUUCGCAGAUAUUAGGAGGAAUACCAGUGGCGAAGGCGACUAACUGGACCGGUAUUGACGCUCAGGUAAGAAAGCGUGGGGAGCAAACAGG
rnacentral:rRNA from 1 species